rnacentral:rRNA from 2 species
UCAAGAAAGAAAGGGCGCAAGGUGGAUGCCUUGGCACAUGAAGGCUAUGAAGGACGUAAGUGAACGAAAACUAGGGAGAGCUCACAAAAAGCACUGACCCCUAGGUCUCCGAAUGGGGAAACCCGGCUGUGGAAGACACAGUCAUUACUAAGUGAAUACAUAGCUUAGUAAAGCAAGACCCUGUGAACUGAAACAUCUAAGUAACAGGAGGAAAAGAAAGAAAACUCGAUUUUCCAAGUAGCGGCGAGCGAAAAGAAAAGAGCCUAAUCCAUUGAGGAAUAUCUAGUUAGUCGAAUCAUCUGGGAAGAUGAACCAAAGAAAGUGAAAGUCUUGUAGACGAAAACUAAAUAAACCAGGGAGGAAAGUAGCACCGGACACGAGGAAUCCGUUGUGAAGAUAGGGGGACCAUCCCCUAAGGCUAAAUACUAACAUGUGACCGAUAGCGAACAAGUACCGUGAGGGAAAGGUGAAAAGAACCCCGAAAGGGGAGUGAAACAGAACCUGAAACCUAGUGCCUACAAGCAGAGAGAGCUCUAAAGAGUGAUCUCGUACCUUUUGUAGAAUGGGCCAGCGAGUUAUCGUAUAUAGCAAGGUUAAAUCUUUAAGAGAUGAAGCCAAAGCGAAAGCGAGUCUUAAUAGGGCGAAUAGUUAGAUGCGAUAGACCCGAAACCGGGUGAUCUAUCCAUGGUCAGAGUGAAGGUGAAGUAAAAUUCACUGGAGGCUCGAACCGGGUACGGUUUAAAACGUAUCGGAUGAACUGUGGAUAGGGGCGAAAAACCAAACGAACUCGGAUAUAGCUGGUUCUCCUCGAAAUAGCUUUAGGGCUAGCCUUUGAUUAAGAUUUAAGGAGGUAGAGCACUGAAUGGUCUAGGGCGGCUUACCGUACCAAAACCUAUCAAACUCCGAAUGCCAAAAAAUCAGAUCAAGGAGUCAGACUUAGGGGGAUAAGCUUCUAAGUCGAAAGGGAAACAGCCCAGACCGACAGCUAAGGUCCCAAAAUCUGGAUUAAGUGGAAAAGGAUGUGAACCUACUAAGACAACCAGGACGUUGGCUUAGAAGCAGCCAUGCAUUUAAAGAAUGCGUAAUAGCUCACUGGUCAAGUGGGUUUGCGCCGAAAAUGAACGGGGCUAAAAUCCAGUACCGAAGCUUCGGAUUGAUAGAGAAUUUAAAAUUGCUAUCAACUCAAACAAAAGAGAAAAGGUAAAACUUAGACGGAAAUAUUAAAAAAACAAUCAAGAUAAAACGAGUUAUCAAUAAACUAAUUACGCAAAACAAGUAAAAGGUAAGUUGUAAACUACGAAAUCACCAAACAAUCGCAUAAAGAAAUAUGCAACUGGUUAAAAACGUCAAAGUAUUUACCAGCAAUUUUAAUUUCUCUAUCAGUGGUAGAGGAGCAUUGUAUGGGCGAAGAAGCAUAAGCGAAAGCACGUGUGGAGCGCAUACAAGAGAGAAUGCUGGCAUGAGUAGCGAGAAGGGAUGUGAGAAUCAUCCCCGUCGAAACCCUAAGGAUUCCUGAGCAAGGCUCGUCCCCUCAGGGUAAGUCGGGACCUAAGGCGAGGCCGAAAGGCGUAGCCGAUGGAUAACAGGUUUAAAUUCCUGUACCGCUUAAAGUCGCUAUAGAGAAGUGAUGACGCAAGAGGAUAAGCUAAGCUAGCUGAUGGAUGCUAGUCUAAAAAGUGAGGCUGUCAUGUAGGCAAAUCCGCAUGACACAAGGCUAAGCUUUGAUAGGUAUCGAAAACACAAGUAGAGAAGUAGCUGAUUUCAAAUUGCCAAGAAAAGUCACUAUCAAGACCAAAGCGCCCGUACCAAAACCGACACAGGUAGGGAGGUAGAGAAUACCAAGACGCGCGGAAGAACCUUUGUUAAGGAACUCGGCAAAAUGUCCCCGUAACUUCGGGAGAAGGGGAGCCAGAGCGAUCUGGCCACAGAAACCAGGCCCAAGCGACUGUUUACCAAAAACACAAGUUUCUGCAAAAUCGAAAGAUGAAGUAUAGGAGCUGACACCUGCCCGGUGCUGGAAGGUUAAGGGGAAGGCUUAGCAUAAGCGAAGGCUAGAACUUAAGCCCCAGUAAACGGCGGCCGUAACUAUAACGGUCCUAAGGUAGCGAAAUUCCUUGUCGGGUAAGUUCCGACCCGCACGAAAGGUGUAACGAUUUGGGCACUGUCUCAACAAAGGAUCCGGUGAAAUUGUAGUAGUCGUGAAGAUGCGACUUACCCACGCUAGGACGGAAAGACCCCGUGGAGCUUUACUGUAGGCUGAUAUUGGACUUUGAGAUUAGACGUACAGGAUAGUUGGGAGACUUUGAAACACGCACGCCAGUGUAUGUGGAGUCACCCUUGGGAUACCAACCCUCUAAUAUUAAAGUUCUAACGAUGACCCUUGAAUCAGGGCAUCGGACAUUGUCAGUUGGGCAGUUUGACUGGGGCGGUCGCCUCCCAAAAAGUAACGGAGGCGUUCAAAGGUUCGCUCAGAAUGGACGGAAACCAUUCGUAGAGUACAAAGGCAGAAGCGAGCUUAACUGCAAAACCUACAAGUUGCGCAGAGUAGAAAUACGGACUUAGUGAUCCGGUGGCACCGCAUGGAAGGGCCAUCGCUCAACGGAUAAAAGCUACCCCGGGGAUAACAGGCUUAUCUCCCCCAAGAGUCCACAUCGACGGGGAGGUUUGGCACCUCGAUGUCGGCUCGUCUCAUCCUGGGGCUGAAGUAGGUCCCAAGGGUUGGGCUGUUCGCCCAUUAAAGAGGCACGCGAGCUGGGUUCAGAACGUCGUGAGACAGUUCGGUCCCUAUCCAGCGUGGGCGUAAGAAAUUUGAGAGGAUCUGUCCCUAGUACGAGAGGACCGGGAUGGACACACCGCUGGUGUACCAGUUGUUCCGCCAGGAGCAUAGCUGGGUAGCUACGUGUGGAAUUGAUAAGUACUGAAAGCAUCUAAGUACGAAGCAGGCCUCAAGAUAAGAUUUCUCAGAGUAGGUAAAGAAAAUACCUUUGAUAGGUCCAAGGUGUAAGUGCAGUAAUGUAUUAAGCUAAUGGAUACUAAACUUUAAAUCUUGACUGG